rnacentral:rRNA from 1 species
AGUGGCGAACGGGUGAGUAAUGGAACGGAACGUACCCAGUAGUGGGGGACAACCUCGAGAAAUCGAGGCUAAUACCGCAUACGUCCUACGGGAGAAAGCGGGGGACCGCAAGGCCUCGCGCUAUUGGAGCGGCCGAUGCCGGAUUAGCUAGUUGGUGGGGUAAAGGCCUACCAAGGCGACGAUCCGUAGCUGGUCUGAGAGGAUGAUCAGCCACACUGGGACUGAGACACGGCCCAGACUCCUACGGGAGGCAGCAGUGGGGAAUUUUGGACAAUGGGCGCAAGCCUGAUCCAGCCAUGCCGCGUGUGGGAAGAAGGCCUUCGGGUUGUAAACCGCUUUCGGCCGGAACGAAAUCGCUCGGGCUAACACCCCGGGUGGAUGACGGUACCGGAAGAAGAAACACCGGCUAACUACGUGCCAGCAGCCGCGGUAAUACGUAGGGUGCGAGCGUUAAUCGGAAUUACUGGGCGUAAAGCGUGCGCAGGCGGUUUCGUAAGACAGGUGUGAAAUCCCCGGGCUUAACCUGGGAACUGCGCUUGU